rnacentral:rRNA from 1 species
UACGUAGGGGGCAAGCGUUGUCCGGAUUUAUUGGGCGUAAAGAGCGUGUAGGCGGCUAGGUAGGUCCGUUGUGAAAACUCGAGGCUCAACCUCGAGACGUCGAUGGAAACCAUCUAGCUAGAGUCCGGAAGAGGAGAGUGGAAUUCCUGGUGUAGCGGUGAAAUGCGCAGAUAUCAGGAAGAACACCCGUGGCGAAGGCGGCUCUCUGGUACGUGACUGAUGCUGAGACGCGAAAGCGUGGGGAGCAAACAGG